UACGUAGGGGGCAAGCGUUAUCCGGAUUUACUGGGUGUAAAGGGAGCGUAGGCCGGGUUUUAAGCGUGCCGUGAAAUGUCGGGGCUCAACCUUGACACUGCGGCGCGAACUGUAGUUCUUGAGUACUGGAGAGGCAGACGGAAUUCCUAGUGUAGCGGUGAAAUGCAUAGAUAUCACGCAGAACUCCGAUUGCGAAGGCAGCAUACCGGCGCUCAACUGACGCUCAUGCACGAAAGCGUGGGUAUCGA
rnacentral:rRNA from 1 species